AUUUUUAAGUUAGAUUUUUGUAUAUGUGUCCCCUCCGCCGUCCUGCCGCCGUGACCGCCGCCGUCACAACCUAGUAGGCACCGCCCGUGGUUCCAGGGAACCGUCCCCGCCUCCGCCGUACCGCCGCCCUGACCGCCGCCGUCACAACCUAGGCACCGCCCGUGGUUCCGGGGAACCGUCCCCGCCUCCGCCGUACCGCCGCCCUGACCGCCGCCGUCACAACCUAGGCACCGCAUGUGGUUAUUGCUAGAAAUUCGUAAAAAUUCAUGUUAUUGCUAGAAAUUCGUAAAAAUUCAUGUUAUUGCUAGAAAUUCGUAAAAAUUCAUGUUAUUGCUAGAAAUUCGUCAUAAAGUACUACUAAUUUGUAGAAAUUUGUAUAAAUAUUCCGGACAUUGUAGGAUUCAUGUUAUUUUAU
rnacentral:lncRNA from 1 species